UACGGAGGGUGCUAGCGUUGUUCGGAUUUACUGGGCGUAAAGCGCACGUAGGCGGCUCAGCAAGUCAGGUGUGAAAUCCCGGGGCUCAACCCCGGAACUGCCCUUGAAACUGCUAAGCUAGAAUCUUGGAGAGGCGAGUGGAAUUCCGAGUGUAGAGGUGAAAUUCGUAGAUAUUCAGAAGAACACCAGUGGCGAAGGCGACUCGCUGGACAAGUAUUGACGCUGAGGUGCGAAAGCGUGGGGAGCAAACAGG
rnacentral:rRNA from 1 species